CCCCGCCCCCUUCUUGCAGGCCCUGCUGGUUGAGCUGGGAGACUCAGUCCCAAGGCUUUGAACAGACACAUGCCACAUCUUUCUCAACUCUGGAGUUCAAUGGUAACACAUGUAUCUCCACCACCUCUGUCAGGAAUGUAUCAUGCCAGGCAACUAGACCCUGAGAUCUGCGAUCUCUGGCUUGGGCUUGGUACAAAGAUGGGAUCAUGGAAUCUUUGCCCCAGAGAUGGUGAGUGGUUGGUAGCCAGUGUAUUACAAGUGAAUCCAACAAGCCCAUCCUGGAGGGAGCUAGGCUGGAAGAACUCAAGGACAGGGGCCUGUGAGUACAAUAAUUUUCAUUAUCUUGUGGUUUGCUACCUGGAGGCUGCCAGGCUGGGCCUUUCUCUCCCAAGUACUUGUUCCUAGUCUUGACUACGAAUUUCAUUUUUCCUGGUGCACCAUGGAUCCCCGUAGGCAAGGAUUUCUUGAAUGUGAGGCCCCUCUGGGCUAGUGGAUAUAGAAGUGGAUCUAGCCUUGUUCAUCUUCUCAACCCAACACUCUGAGCUCACAGGGAUACUUUCAGAGUAUCACCACCUGGCUCUGACUUAUCCACAUGUAACUUGUGUGGUCAGAACUGAGAAAUCUACAAGGCAUUAUGCUUUUCCAUCAUCACCAGAAAACAGGGAUAAAGGCACUAUUGAAAUGUUCUCAUUGGGUUAAAUUUGGUGCCUGAAAAUACCAACCUCUCCUGCAUGUUUAAAAAUCCCAUUUCUUUGAAUGGAUCUAAACUCUUUGACAUGGAUGACAGUGUUUUUUACAGCCCGGUCCUGCCUACUUCACAAAUAGCAUCUCUUCCACACCAUCCCACCCUGGCCCCCACAGCCUAAGCUGACUGAUUCAGAUUCGAGUUUUCUUGGUUCUGCCAUCCCAUCUUGUUCUAACCCCAGGCCAUUUGCACAUGCCAUUUCCUCUGCCUAGAAUACUCCUCUCUUCCCCACUUCACAUGGCUAAAUUUAUUCAUCCUCCAGGUGUCCUAUCACCUCUUCUAGAAAGCCUUCUCUCAUCCUCCAGACCAGGAUAGCACAAUACACUGCACUUCAUUCAUUCACUGAAUCUUGAAUUCACUCACUCAUUCAAAAAUGAGUGUCAUUUGUUUGCCACAGCCCUGUUCCUCAGUACAGUAGUUGCUUAUUUUAUUGGCCGUCUCUCUGACUGGGUUUG
rnacentral:lncRNA from 10 species